rnacentral:tRNA from 1 species
CAGGGAGACAACAAAAUGUUAAAUAUUAAUUUUGUCACCUUAGGUCGAUCGGUAUCUCACAUUCUUAUAUUUAUUAAGGAUUUUAUUUCCUAAGUUUUUUCUAGGUCACACCCAUUACUUUCCCUGGGCCAUUAGCUCAGGUGGUUAGAGCGCACCCCUGAUAAGGGUGAGGUCCCUGGUUCAAGUCCAGGAUGGCCCAUAUCUCUAUGUUGGGGGUAUAGCUCAGUUGGUAGAGCGCCUGCUUUGCAAGCAGGAUGUCAGCGGUUCGAGUCCGCUUACCUCCACUGAUUACCACCUCUUCCAUAAUUUUUAGAAGGGAAAUGUUUUGAGUUGUGAUCAAAUUCUGAACGAAUCUAGCUUCCUAAUUAACUUUAUUAAGAUGCUGGACUCAUUGAAUUAAUUUCAUUGUUUUCAGAGAACCUUGACAACUGCAUAGAUUAUUUUUAAAGACAAUAAGCAUCUUUAAUGAUGCAGAUUUAUUAUUUGUGCGAAUGCAUUAAUAACAAUUCUAUUAAGCUGAUGCUUCAAUUUUUUGAAGUUAUU